rnacentral:lncRNA from 1 species
UAAAGAAGAGAGAGAAACCUUUGUAGAGAAUGAGAGAGACGCAACCUUGGAAUGUACCUCGUGUUUUUGCAAGAGAGCGGGGGAAUAUAUCACUGCUCCUUUCUUCUUCUAUGUCGUUUUGAUUCUCUGCGGAGUCCCUUAUCGUGAGGUCUCCUCCUGAUUCGGCUACGAUUCUAUUUGAUUAAAAGUUGACGAUUUAGAGAAGACGAUGAUGAAAUAUUUUGGGUAUUUGGCGAUUGAAGUUCCAAUAAGCCAAUACUUGGAAAAAUGUUUUGUAAAGGCUUUUGUAUCAGAAUUGUCCUUUUAGAAACUUUUAUAUUCAUAGUUUUGAUUUAAUUGUUUGGAAAGAUCUACUAGAUAUUGUGUUUUAUAAGUAUUUUAUUGUAAAAAUUCUCAAUUCAAUUUAAUUUUUUUAAAUUUAAUUUGAUUAUUUUCAAGUUAGUUGUUUGUUACAAUUUCCAUUUAUUCCAAAUGAAGGUUUAGCCGUUUAGUGGCAAAUGAGAGAUGUAUUAAAUUAAAUAUUAAUUAAUUGAUAUUUUAAAUUAUUGUAAAUUUUUAUAUUAAUGAUUUCAUAAAAAAUAUUUUAUAUCUUUAAAACAAGUGACUGAUACUAUUAAAACUCAAAAUCAAAUCUCAUAAAUAUAGUCAAAUUUGAUUCAAAUUUUCAUUUGAAGUUGUUUUAAAAAAUUUUAUUAGAGUAAUUUGAAUACUAAUUGGGAUUGACACUUUACGAAAGAAAACAUUGAAUAAUCAUUGUUUUCAUUUUUUCCUAAAUUCAUUUAUCAACUUCACCAUCACAUAAAAAAUAAAAGCACCACACGUGGGUCUAUGCCAAAUUUCCAAUUGACCCUAACAAUUAUCAAUAAUCAAUCCAUACACUUAAUGGAAAUCAAUGGUUAGGCUGAUGGUGGAGUAAGGUGGUCCACAACCUACUUGAUUACCUCUCAUCCGAGAGCGUGAUAUUGACGUCCACAUCUGCGCGUGGGAAAAACAUCGUUCUCGAAAAUCGCUCGCUUAAACAAAUGAGGUAGCAUUGAAGAGAGAUAGAUGAAUGAGUGCAAGUGGUAGAUAACUCGGACAAAAGUGAAGCCCAAGCGUGGGACACAUGCAAUCGCGUCCUUCGCCCUUCGUUCCUUUUCCGAUGGUAAACCAUUUUUAUCACUGUGUCGACCAUGGAAUAGAACCUGAGCUUGUGACUCGAGCUACGGGUUGCCAGUGACCACCGACGACCAUAUCAGUAAUAGCAAACGAAAAGGAAUACCACUGUCGGUUUGGAUGGGCUGAAAACUGUCUAUGGCUUCCAAGUUACCUGUGGUAGCCAUAGGUGAAAUUGGUGUGUCAAAUGUAUAGCCAAUCUGAAAAGUGUUGCUGUUGUUUCAGCUCUUUUUGAUUGGGAAUGUGUACUGACUGAAACCAGGAAGUUUGCAUGCAAUGCUGUUGGAGUCUAGCAUUGGUGGUACACUGACAAAUUCAUGAUCUGAUUCUGAUAUGAUAAGUUGCCCAAGACGAGAUAUAUGACUAAAUGUUGAUUCCCUUGGCAUAACUCGAUUUCUUGUGAUCACCAUAAAAGAAUGCAAUUACAUGUGUUCAUUCUGCAGAGGAAAGGAUGUUAUAAUAUGGACGAGUUCCUGUAUUUGACUCCGCAGAUGUCCACAUUUUUUUAUUGUAUUUUUUUAUCACCAAUACGUGCUAGUUUCUGUCCAGUCUCGACGUCUUUUCACUUCAAUGUUCAAAGCGCAAGUGUCACGGAUCUAAGGGGAGUCUUGAAUCCCAUAUCGAACAUAAUAGGAGGUUAUUGAGGUAUAAAAGGGUUCACACAAUCUCGACCUUGUGAGAUACAUUUUGUAAGACAAAAUCGUGAGGCUAGAGGACCAGAGCAGACAAUACCUCACAAGGGAGUGAACCGUGACAGGUAGGUUGAUUUGGGACGUCGGAAGGGUGAAUAUCCGGGUCUCGUAAUCGUGCGGGUUUAGAGCUUAAAUCUCGACCCGUGACACAAGGACAUGGACCUCUACAGUCAGUGGAGCACAUGCAAGAAAUACCUGAGAUAUCGUGUUCACUUCACGUGAUCGACAUUUGCUUCAGACUUGCGCGCAUUGUUUCGUAAGCAUCUGGCUUUUAUAGGAGUGGAUGAAGAUCAAACCCGCAACAUACAUGUUGCUGCUAACAUUUCUCUCGCUUUUAUUGGGGCAUCUCAUCUUACAAAAUAAUAUGGUUGCAUGUCUUGGGAUGAUACAAUUAACCAAACCCACCGAAGAUAGGAGAUUCCCAAGGCAACCUUGCCCACCAGGUUAGCAAGCGGAUGGACCACAGAGGAACGUCUCUCUCUUUUUAUUUUAUUUUGGUGAACGAAGAAAAAGAAUCAUCUUGGCCAAGGUUUUUCCUAUCGUUGCGCGGGGAGGAUGAUGCAAACUUUAAAGCAUAAGAGCAUCCUUCAAAUUGUCGGUUUGCUAGAAGAAAUAUUUUAUUCAAAAGUGAAAGCUUAAAGACAUUGGCAACCUCCAUCACCCUGCAGAAAAGGGUACACAAUAAGUUCAUAAAGAAUCACCGUCGUCCUUUCAUCGAAAGAGCAUAACCUUGUUUUCACAAUCAAAGAAUCAAUGUAACACAACCAAGAUCAAGCUAGAGAGAGCACUACAAGAAAGAGAAGCAUAAACAAACCAGAGUAAUAAUGGCGACUUUAUAAAUUUUAACGAGUCAAACCCCUAGACAUACCAUUUUAUGAUGGAAGAAAUCAACUUACAAUACUCGCAAACCUUCCAUUUUACUCUAGAAGUCUAGACCAUUAAUAAACCAUAUACUUUAAGAAGCUGAUCCCUAUACGGGGAAUUUACCAACCAGAUAGCUUCAAAUCCCAGUAGUUCCAGCUUCCAAGAUCAGUAGCAAGACACCUUAAUCAUAUUAAAGAUUGCACAAACUUCUUUCCCAAGACAAACUAAUUUACAGAUUGUUUAUUCAAACACCAGGUCCUAGGUAGAAACUGACAUCAUAUAAACAUGACCACUAAAGGCAAAUCUCCAUCAUUUGGAAAGGAUCUAGUACUUCUUUUAGGAGACGUGAAUUUCUCCACUGGCAUGGGCCUCCUUUACUGUCUUCUCGUACUCAUCUUCUUCUUCUACUUCUUCCUCAGCAUCUUCUUCUCUAGCAUCCUCAUCUUCUUCACCACCCCAGCCAAAGCCUCCAAUAUACCGCAAUACUGGAGGAGCAAUUUUAGCCUCUUCAACUAUUUUCAUGAUUUCCUCAACACUUUGAAGGGAGAAAGUUGGGUUUUCUUUCCUGUAGUAGGCAACUUGAGCUGCCUCCGUCAGUUCCCUGGGCAAGUUCUUCAAAAACCAUGGAUGGCUCUUGAUAUCUUUGAUGGUGAUCCUCUAUAAAAACAAUAGUCAAAACAGUGAGUGCCAAAGAGAGACAGAGGAAAUGGAAAAGCAGGCUUAUCAAUGGUGAUGGAUUGACAAAAGGUAAUUAUUAAUGGCCACUCCAAGAAUGGCAAUUUAAAAUUGGAGAUGGCUCUCUUGUUUUACUUCCCCCCACCACUUCAUAGGCAGAAAAGUAAAAUCCUGUGUCUCAUACUUUUUCCUUAUUUAACUAUGGACAAGCAACAUUUCUUUAUGAUUAUGACCAAUUGUACAUCCAAAAUUUAUCUUUCAACGCACAAGUAGCAGGCAAUUUAUGUAAGCGUCGUGCUUUACCACAUCCUAAAAACAAAAGGGAAAAAAGACAUAUAUAUAUAUAUAGAACCCUACCAUGCCAAUAAACCACCAAUCUAGAAACAGAAAUUAUGGCAGAACAAGAAUUUGUCCUCGUCCAUAUGAACUAAAAUAUUGUUUAACUUUCACUUUAGUUUAUGGUAAUUCUAGAACAAGUUCAGUAACAGCAGUGCAUACCCUGGAGGGGCUAGCAACAAAUAUGCGAGAAAGAAGGUGUCUGCAUUCUUGAGAUAUGUGAACAUAAUCUGGGAUUUUGUAUUGAACUGACAUUAUCCUCUGCAGCAGAUAAAAAACAUAAGAAAUCAUAAAGAAAUUAAAUGAUUAAGAUAGUCAAAAAGAGGGAUGGGCAGAAGGAUGUAACUUACGUUAAUAGUUUUCCUAAAAUUCUUAGGAUCCUCUUGGUCCUCAAAUGGGUAUGCACCAACCAACAUGACAUAAAGAGUCACUCCACAUGACCAUACAUCUGCCAUCUGAAAAAGAAAUCCAAUCCUAAAACUAAUCAGAAGCAGAAAACAGGAAAUCCCCUCUGCCUUGGAAAAACUUGCUAAAACUCAGACCACAGUUUGUCUUUGCCAAAUAUCCCACGUGGCAUUGCUUUUGUGGUCAUUAAAAUGAAAAUAUUAUCAUAAAGGGGCAUUAGCUGUAAUAAUUGCAGAUUUCCAACUAAUUUUUAAAUAUUCUAGUGAUCGAUCUUUUACCAAGUAUAUAAUCAGCCUUGACAACUCUUAACACAUGCCAAGUAAAAUCAGCUGAUCUUUAGACAGUAUGUAAAGGCAUCAACUACUCUAGCACAGGACCAAUUAGCAUAAGCACAUAACCAUAACUAAAAUAACCCAGUCUAAUAAAGAAGCAGCUAUCAACAAUAUAUGAAUAAAGUAGACAAAGACUAAAUUACCUUGCCAUCGUAUUCUCUCCGACAGAGAACUUCUGGUGCAAUAUACGCUGGAGUUCCAACCGUUGACUUGGGUCUGGAAUGCAGCAGAGAUGACUACAAAAGGGGUGGAAGGAAGCAUCUUAAAACAACAAGAACUUCCACAUACAUUUGAUUAUGCUUAGUGUGAUGACCCUAUUUUCAGUUAUACCUUUGAAUAACCAAAAUCACAGAUUUUCAGACGAGGAGCAGGGCUCCCAUCCAACAGGGUAUUCUCUAACUUUAGAUCUCGAUGGCAUAUUUGCUGAAAAUGAAAGAGGUAAAAUAUGAGAAGCUUACAAAAACAGGAAAAUUGUAAUUUCUUGUAAUAGAUAGUACCAUGGAAUGACAGUAGCUAACUCCUGAGAUCAGCUGCUGGAAAAAAUAUCUGGCCUGAAAACAUAAAAUAUUAGAAAGAACAUCGUUAGUAGAAAGUUCAAAACACCUACCAGCCUAUCUCUCGCUUAGAAAAGUAAUGCAGGAUUAUUCAAUGGAUAAAACCGUGGCAUUUCAUCUCACACUAGUUUCUGUAUCAAUUAAGAGAGGAAAGGGAACACAAUGCAGCCAACAAGAAGGUAAAUAAUACAACGUACGGUGAACAUUACAAAUUUCCUUUUUUUUUUCUGCAAAAGGGUAUUAAUUUAGUAACCAAAAGACAAAAGUUUGAAAUCCAAGCUAACUUCAUCUUCGCUGAAUCUUCCAGCGUUGCAAAUUCGCUCAAAGAGUUCACCACCGGCUGCAUACUCCAUCACAAUAGCAAGAUGAGUAGGAGUCAAAACCACCUUCAAAUUAGAAACAAAGAAAAAAAGAGUUAAUUUAAGUACAUUAAGGCAACAACAACAACAACAAAAGUAAGCGGAUAAAAAUUUAACACCUCUUUGAACCGAAUUAUAUUUGGAUGACGGAGUGAUCUAUGGUUUAUAAUCUCUCUUGCCACAUUCUCAUCAAUCUGUCAAAAGUUUAAAUGUAAAACGUCAAGAAAAACAUUCCCUCAGCAGCAAAUUUCAAUCUUUAAGAAACUACCCACAGUGAUUUUUUAAAAGUUAAAAACAUACAAACAAUCCUACAUAAACAUCAUACAUGCAUGCAUAAUACAUGGAUAGUAAACAUCAUACAUGCAUGCAUAAUACAUGGAUAGAUGCAUUUAAAUGCAUCAUAUGAAUAUUAAAAAAAUCAAAUAAAAACAUUAAAAAAAAAAGAAAGAGAUGGGAACCUUAUUGCCACGGUCGAUAUACUUCAUGGCGACGAGUUCUUUGGUUUCUUUGUUACGCAUCAGCCUCGCUACCCCAAAGUUCCCAGAUCCUAUGUCUCUCACCAACUCGUACUUCUCCAUGUUUUUUGUUUCCUUCCAAACAGAUGAGAUAAAUGAAAAACCCUAACUUAAUUAUUCACAAAUCAAAGCACGCAUCAAUUUAUACGCAACACAUUCUUAAUCGGAAAUUCGCGGCGGUGGUGGGCGGCUGAAGUGGAGGUGGAGAUUAGAGAGAUUUGAAGAGAAGUAAAGAAUAUCGAAUUUUUAAAAUCGUAAGAAACCAAGAAAACCAGCGCUUUGUGAACAGAUAGAAGAAUCUUUUACUGUAUAAAAGGGUUUUAUUAUUAUUAUUUGUUUUAUUAUGAUAGAAAAGAGAAACCUUUGUAGAGAAUGAGAGAGACGCGAUUUUAGAAUGUACCUUAUGCUUUUUGCAAGAGAUUGAGGGAAUAUCUCACUGCUCCUUCUUCUUCUAUGUCGGCAUGAUUCUCUGCCAAGUACCCUUGCUGAGCUUAUCGUGAGGUCUCCUCUUGAUUCGGCUACGAUUCUAUUUGAUUAAAAGUUGGUGAUUAAGAGAAGCCGAUGAUGAAAUAUUUUGGGUAUUUGACUAUUGAAGUAUGAAUAGGCCAGUAAUUGGAACAGUGUCUUGAUUUAAUUGUUUACAAGAUAUACUAAAUAUUGUG